rnacentral:rRNA from 1 species
UUGGAGGGCAAGUCUGGUGCCAGCAGCCGCGGUAAUUCCAGCUCCAAUAGCGUAUAUUAAAGUUGUUGCAGUUAAAAAGCUCGUAGUUGAAUUUCGGAAUCUGUCCGUCGGUCGGGCUUCACUGUCCGUACUGGUGUGAUGUGUUUCUGCCUUCUGAAUAACCGGCAUGUCAUUAAUUUGGUGCGCCGGGGAAGCAGAACUAUUACCUUGAAAAAAUUAGAGUGCUUAAAGCAGGCUAUCGCCUGAAUGGAUUAGCAUGGAAUAAUAAAAUAGGACGGCAUGGUUCUAUUUUGUUGGUUUCUAGGAUCACCGUAAUGAUUAAUAGGGAUAGUUGGGGCAUUAGUAUUCAAUUGUCAGAGGUGAAAUUCAUGGAUUUAUUGAAGACUAACUUCUGCGAAAGCAUUUGCCAAGGAUGUUUUCAUUAAUCAAGAACGAAAGUUAGGGGAUCGAAGACGAUCAGAUACCGUCGUAGUCUUAACCAUAAACUAUGCCGACUAGGGAUCGGACGAUGUUAAUUUUUUAAUGACUCGUUCGGCGCCUUACGGGAAAC